GUCCAUGCCGUAAACGUUGGGCACUAGGUGUGGGGAGGAGUCAACCCUUUCCGUGCCGUAGCUAACGCAUUAAGUGCCCCGCCUGGGGAGUACGGCCGCAAGGCUAAAACUCAAAGGAAUUGACGGGGGCCCCGCACAAGCGGCGGAGCAUGUUGCUUAAUUCGAGGCAACGCGAAGAACCUUACCUGGGUUUGACAUGUACCGAAAAGCCGUAGAGAUACGGUGUCCUUCGGGCGGUACACAGGUGGUGCAUGGCUGUCGU
rnacentral:rRNA from 1 species